GCGUCCUUCCAGCUGCGUGGUUGUGCAUCACCUCCUCUGCUCCUUGGCGCCUGGUUCUGUGAUUGGCAGCCCGCUGUGCUGGGAAAGCUUUGUUCUCCCGGAGGCAAAUCCCUCUGUGACCAACCCCAGGGCAGGGCUGUAGGAUGGGACGGGAGCAUGGCAAGCAGCACCGCUUGCUGCAGCCUUGUCCAUGCGUGGGCUGCUCUGUGAGGGGCGAUUGCACCCCAGGUGGAUGUAGGUGCCUCAGUCAUGUCAGCUCAGCCACCAAGCACGAUGAAGUGUACCACGGACCCCCUGCUCUUCCAUGCCCCCGGGGCUCCUGUCGUGUUCUCUCAUCCCCUUCCGCUUCUGUGGAGCUGAGGAGAAACUGCGUGUGUGGGGGCACUGUGCCUCCUCACGGAGGAGAGGGGCGGCCUGCCGUGGACGGUGUACUGCUGGCAGUGAGUGGGGUUGGGUCUGCAGCUGGAGCUGAGAGGAGACCGUUCCCUUCCACAGUAAUUCAGUUGUAGGGAGGACUGCUGGAGGAAGGAGGCCGGGGUUUGGGGCAGAAGAAAGGAGUGAGAAUGAUAAGAAAAUGUCGCAUUCCUGGAGUGAGGUGUUAUUGAUGGCUGGCAGAGAUUUGGGUCUGGGGGCAGAAGUUUUGGUCUGAGAUACGAUGGUGAGGAAGCAGGAUUAAAUAUUAAUGUGCUAAUUAACCCUGUAAGCCUUCCUUGCAACAUUUGUCACAGCCCACAUGCCAAAACUGGGAUGCUGCUGAAGAAAAAAGAGGUCAGCUUCUUGAAAGGUGAACUCGGGCUGCUCGCAGAGGCACCUUCUGUCAAGUGCAGGAAGAUGGAAUCCCAUUACUGUCUGCAAAUUAAGCCUCUGGGGACCGGUUUCAAACAGAAAGCAGCCUGCAAGCUGUGCUGUCUGUGCCAAGAACUGUUGCAAGCGGAUUUUGAGGAUCAGGUGCUGGCGAUCCCAUGGCAUGGAGGAGCUCCUCACCGCCACAGGAAGGACAUAAAAGCCACUGGGUUUCCUGCAGAGCUGUGCCACACUGGAGGUGCCGAAGCCAUUACCAGCUUCACAAUAAAGACUUAAGUUUUAAAAUGUCUGAAUCUGGACACAGGCAGAAAUGAUGUCAUUUCACAACACAGACAUAAACCUCUGCGGAUCACUGCUGCCCCACCUGUGCCAUAUGAUUACUGUGAACAGGCCUGGAUGGCAUGGCGCUGAGCGAGAUGCACUUGGGGAUAUGUGUGUGCCCCUAAUGGGGCUGUAAAGCUGUGGCACUCACUGGUGUUUCUGAAGGCUGCCUUUACAAGCCCACCAUUAACUGUUUGAUACUGUUGUGGGCACCACAGGUGCUGACAGGACCAGCAGGCCUGGCUGCGGCCUGGCAAGGGCUGCAGGCCCUUCUGAGCCUGGUCCUUCACCCUUUGUGCUCUUCCACCUGUCCAAUCUGCACUAAUCACCCCGAGUCAGAUUUAAAGAAAGGCUCUUUUGGGGUCUUCCUUUUGGUGACCAGGUGCAGGCUGUGAUGCCUCCAAAUUGUAGUUGCACAGAGUUCCCUGCUCAGCCACCACCUGACUGGUUGACCGUGAAGUCACAGUACCUUCCACCUCCCUUAUGUAAAAAUUCCUUACUGCUUUGCACACUUGGAUGCACCUUCCUUGUACCUGCUGAGUUAUGUCCCUGAUUCACCCAAUGGACAUUUAAUGUUUCUCCAUCUCCUUUGCCUCAAGGGUUCAAUCUUGGGUCUUGGAAAAUACUUCUUGGAUUGAAAGCCACAUAAAACAGAAGAGGAAAUGCUGUCACGCUCUCGUCUCUAACUAAAUCCCUUAGUUUUUAAUCCAGUAACUGUACUUAGAGUGUUUGCCUACAUAGGAGACCGGGAGUGACCCCCGUGGGACUGCCCUGCUGGAAAGGCUUUGCUGUGGCUCCUUGUGAGCAUCUCAGCAGGGUUCAACCUUCAUCACUCGAGCAUCCCCUAGUUUCCUGCAUUUUAGUUCACAUGUCAUACAUCGUUUUUCACCAAGCUGACAUGGGAGGAGCCGCUUCAGGACCUGUUACGCCCCCUGCAGUGCCAUGAAUGUUCCUGGGAUCUAAUUCAGUUGGGACCACAGUGAGCCUCUGGUAGGAAAAUCCUCCCACGCCUCGGGGAGGAUGCUUCAGUGCCUCUCCCUGGCCAGGGCAAGCUGAGCAUCCACGUGUUACUCCUCUAUGCCUUGCUGCCCCAUGAGAAGUACCUGGCUCCUACACCUCUUAGUAAAUCUAACUCUUUGUGGGGCUGUAGACUUGCUCAAGUACCCAGCUCUCACCAGUCUGACCUAUCUCUUAUUUUUUUUUCUCUUUUUUUCCCACCUUGAGAAGUGCUGAGCUCUGUCUCAGGCUUGGUGAGGCGGUGCAGAGCCCCACCUGGGCUAAUUGUGCCAUUAGGCUGUCUUCAGGCCUUGGGUUUCCCACUGAGAGGGGCUGAUGGUGCUUCCCUGGCUGACAGGACACCGUGAGUGAUUUAUCGCUGCUGUCGAGUGUGUUGUGAUCCUUGGAAGGAAAGCAGCAUCAGAGCACAGAGCAGCUGAGAUACUUGGAAAGUCUCAGUGAUGGGCAUGCAUGCUGUUAAACUGUGUCACCCAUUGCUUAAUUAGCUCCGACUGCCAGCCUUUGUGGCAUGGACGCACUUGUCCAUGACCAAGUGCAGCCAGGAUUCCCAAAAAGCUGAGAAAACCUUACAAGGGCCUGGAGAUGUGGCGUGAGGAGCGUGAAGGAAAGCAGCAUGGUUCUUAUGGGUGCUGAGCACCCACAGAUCCCACCUCGGGUGAGGUGAGCUGGGCGGAAUAGGCUGCCCAGUGGGCACGGCCCCGAGCUGCCUGAGUUCAAGAGAUGUUUGGGCAACAUUCUUGGACGUAGGGUUUGAAUUUUGGGUGGUCCUAUGUGGAGCCAGGAGCUGGACUCCGUGAUCCUUAUGGGGACCUUCCAACGUGGGAUGUUCUAUGAUUCUAGAUGUACACACAGGAGCUGGUAGCAAAACCCCUCCCCUGGGAGCUGUGGGAGAGGAGCUGACUCCUUGGAGACGUUUCCCCACCUUCUAAUAGAAGCAGCCUCCUGUUACUCAGUGCUUGGUAGCACCGGGUUCAACUUUGGAAGGCCUUUCUGAUGUCCACUCCCUGCUCUGUGCGGGUUGAAGGUUGGUUUACUCUGCCUCAACUCAGCCUUUUCCCUGGGGUUGUAUUGCUUCAUCAAAAAAGAACCAAGUGGGGGGAGUGGAAAUGAGGGAAAAACAAGGCACACUUUCAAAUAGUAAUUUGUGCAAUGAUAAUAAUGCAUUAAAAUUAUUUCUCAGCU
ensembl:lncRNA